UUGGCAGACGAGCUUGUUAAAAUGCAGCUGCCUAGGCACUACCCCACCCGCAGAACUUCCACCUCGGUCGGUCUGGGGAGAACACGGCAUUCUGGCUUAACAAGCAUCCAGAGGGGUUGAGCAGAUUGAAGGAAGACCAUAGAGCUGGGAUGCCUCGGUCGUUCUUAACAUCACUCAUUUGUGGAGCAAUUUUCAAGCGAAAAGCACUUUUAAAACUCUUGAAACUCAACACCACUUUGUGAAAUAGACAUAAUCCUCAUUUUAUAGAUGGGGAAAGCAGAGCCCAGAGAAGUUGAAUGAUGCCAUCUCUUAGCUAAUGGGUAAGAGAGAUGAGUCCAGGCCCAGCCUGGAGGACCUAACGUGACCCCAGCUGGCUUUUGAGGAAACCAAAGCGUGUUGGAGCCUGGAAGCCUUUGGUCAGUCCCAUCAUUCCACCUCUAGGGAUCCCCUGUGACCUCCUGAACCAGAGCAGACUCCCUGGAGCCGUCCCAGGCCACAGCCCAGGUGUGAUGCUGGGCUGCAAGUGACAGCCAGGCCUAUGGUGCACUGCCCACAUUUGGGGCUGCAGCCCCUUCCUCUCCAACAUUUCCCACCUCUAUUUUUAACAGAAGCCAGUGCCCCUGCCAUCUCCUUAUCACUCACAGUCCCACUCUGCUGUCAUUGUCCCGCCCUAGAGAUGCUUUUGCUCCCAUUCAAAAUAAUUUAAAUAAAAUGUUGCUACAAAGCGGAA
rnacentral:lncRNA from 1 species